rnacentral:rRNA from 1 species
UACGUAGGGGGCAAGCGUUGUCCGGAUUUAUUGGGCGUAAAGAGCGUGUAGGCGGCCGCACAGGUCCGUUGUGAAAACUGGAGGCUUAACCUCCAGACGUCGAUGGAAACCGUGCGGCUAGAGUCCGGAAGAGGAGAAUGGAAUUCCUGGUGUAGCGGUGAAAUGCGCAGAUAUCAGGAAGAACACCCGUGGCUAAGGCGGUUCUUUAGUACGGUACUGACGCUGAGACGCGAAAGCGUGGGGAGCGAACAGG